ACAGUCAUGGCCGAGUGGUUAAGGCGAUGGACUAGAAAUCCAUUAAGGUCUCCCCGCACAGGUUCGACUGCG
rnacentral:tRNA from 1 species